UACGUAGGGGGCAAGCGUUAUCCGGAAUUAUUGGGCGUAAAGAGCUCGUAGGCGGUUUGUCGCGUCUGCUGUGAAAACUGGAGGCUCAACCUCCAGCCUGCAGUGGGUACGGGCAGACUAGAGUGCGGUAGGGGAGAUUGGAAUUCCUGGUGUAGCGGUGGAAUGCGCAGAUAUCAGGAGGAACACCGGUGGCGAAGGCGGGUCUCUGGGCAGUAACUGACGCUGAGGAGCGAAAGCGUGGGGAGCGAACAGG
rnacentral:rRNA from 1 species